UACGUAGGGAGCGAGCGUUGUCCGGAUUCAUUGGGCGUAAAGAGCUCGUAGGCGGUUCGGUAAGUCGGGUGUGAAAUCUCCGUGCUCAACACGGAGCGGCCACCUGAUACUGCCGUGACUCGAGUCCGGUAGGGGAGUGGUGGAAUUCCGGUGUAGCGGUGAAAUGCGCAGAUAUCAGGAGGAACACCGGUGGCGAAGGCGGUCUCUGGCCGAUACUGACGCUGAGGAGCGAAGCGUGGGGAGCGAACAGG
rnacentral:rRNA from 1 species